GAUGAACGCUAGCGGGAGGCCUAACACAUGCAAGCCGAGCGGUAUUGUUUUUUCGGAAAUGAGAGAGCGGCGUACGGGUGCGGAACACGUGUGCAACCUGCCUUUAUCUGGGGGAUAGCCUUUCGAAAGGAAGAUUAAUACUCCAUAACAUAUUGAACGGCAUCGUUUAAUAUUGAAAGCUCCGGCGGAUAGAGAUGGGCACGCGGAAGAGUUAGCUAGUUGGUGAGGUAACGGAUCACCAAGGCGAUGAUCUUUAGGGGGACUGAGAGGGUGAUCCCCCACACUGGUACUGAGACACGGACCAGACUCCUACGGGAGGCAGCAGUGAGGAAUAUUGGUCAAUGGGUGCAAGCCUGAACCAGCCAUCCCGCGUGAAGGACGACUGCCCUAUGGGUUGUAAUCUUCUUUUGUAUAGGGAUAAACCUACCCUCGUGAGGGUAGCUGAAGGUACUAUACGAAUAAGCACCGGCUAACUCCGUGCCAGCCGCCGCCGUAACAC
rnacentral:rRNA from 1 species